rnacentral:rRNA from 1 species
UACCUAGCGGCAGACGGGUGCGUAACAUGUGGGAAUCUGCCUUUUGGUUCGGAACAACAUGGGGAAACCUGUGCUAAUACCGGAUAAGUCCUAACGGAGAAAGUUUUAAUGCCAAAAGAUGAGCCCGCAUUUGAUUAGCUUGUUGGUGAGGUAAAAGCUCACCAAGGCUAUAAUCAAUAGCUGAUUUGAGAGGAUGAUCAGCCACACUGGGACUGAGAUACGGCCCAGACUCCUACGGGAGGCAGCAGUGGGGAAUCUUGCACAAUGGGCGAAAGCCUGAUGCAGCGAUGCCGCGUGAGUGAAGAAGGCCUUUGGGUUGUAAAGCUCUUUUGUCGGGAAAGAUAAUGACUGUACCCGAAGAAUAAGGUCCGGCUAACUUCGUGCCAGCAGCCGCGGUAAUACGAAGGGACCUAGCGUAGUUCGGAAUUACUGGGCGUAAAGAGUAUGUAGGCGGCUAGAUAAGUUAAUUGUGAAAGCCCAAAGCUUAACUUUGGAACUGCAAUUAAAACUAUUUAGCUGGAGUAUGAUAGAGGAAAGCGGAAUACAUAGUGUAGAGGUGAAAUUCGUA